rnacentral:rRNA from 1 species
UACGAAGGGGGCUAGCGUUGCUCGGAAUCACUGGGCGUAAAGGGUGCGUAGGCGGGUCUUUAAGUCAGGGGUGAAAUCCUGGAGCUCAACUCCAGAACUGCCUUUGAUACUGAGGAUCUUGAGUUCGGGAGAGGUGAGUGGAACUGCGAGUGUAGAGGUGAAAUUCGUAGAUAUUCGCAAGAACACCAGUGGCGAAGGCGGCUCACUGGACUGGUAUUGACGCUGAGGUGCGAAAGUGUGGGGAGCAAACAGG